ensembl:processed_transcript
GUACAAAGAAACUGAAACAGGUUUGGAACAAGUGGAGCACACGGUAAUACAUUUAUUGGGUGGACUAUCCCUUUAAGCAUUGCACAUGCCUAAAAAACUCUACAUCAAUCAUCUCAAAUCCAAUUCCUGGAGGGCUGCAGCCCUGCAUAGUUUAGCUCCAACCACCUCACAUCUUAACCACAUCUUAAGCUUAAUAGUCUCUAGUAGUCUUGAACGCCUUGAUUAUUUGGAUCAGCUGUGUUUGAUUAGAGUUGGAGCAAAACUGCAGAGCUGUGGCCCUCCAGGAAUCGGGUUUGAGACCUGUGCUCUACAAAGAAGUGUAGUGUUUUUUCCCCUCCAUAUGUCAAUUUUACAGCUUACCGGCAGCAGGAACACAUAAAAAAUACACCUUGAUGCAUCCAGAUGAAAAAUAUUAUCCACCCUGAAAUCACAUUGCUCAUGAACUCUUAAAUUUGUUCUAUUUAACCGUGAUUGUUGAGCAGCAUUGCAUUGAAGCACCUGUCUAUUAUUAAAAAAACACUUCACAAUUCACCAAUCAAUGAAUCCUAAAGCUUUUCAGAGGUAUUUUACACCAAUGGCAGGCGAUCAUUACACACUAUUAUAAAUUAAACAUCCAUUAUGUGGAAGAUUGUCCUAUCAAAAAUGGUCCAACUCUUAUAGCUGCCACAUAAUUAAGCACUUUCUUUUCUCCGCCGUCUUGUAAAAAGCAUCAGAUGAGUCUCUCCAUUGGUGGAGGUUGUACAAUGUUCCACAUUUCCACCCUUGAGCCUUCCUUCUCCUGCCGACUGGGGCUGUAAGUGCCCCGU